rnacentral:rRNA from 1 species
AUACGGAGGGUGCGAGCGUUAAUCGGAAUUACGGGGCGUAAAGCGUACGUAGGCGGUUGGUUAAGUUAGAUGUGAAAGCCCCGGGCUUAACCUGGGAACUGCAUUUAAAACUGGCGAACUAGAGUUGAGUAGAGGGGAGUGGAAUUUCAGGUGUAGCGGUGAAAUGCGUAGAGAUCUGAAGGAACACCAGUGGCGAAGGCGACUCCCUGGACUCGAACUGACGCUGAGGUACGAAAGCGUGGGUAGCAAACGGGAUUAGAAACCCUAGUAGUCC